rnacentral:tRNA from 1 species
UUACUGGUAGGUUAUUGUUUAAACUGGCAAAUUGUGGUUUUGUUGAUUACAUUUUUUGUAUCAGUA